GACGAACGCUGGCGGCGUGCCUAAUACAUGCAAGUUGAGCGAUGAAGAUUGGUGCUUGCACCAAUUUGAAGAGCAGCGAACGGGUGAGUAACGCGUGGGAAAUCUGCCUUUGAGCGGGGGACAACAUUUGGAAACGAAUGCUAAUACCGCAUAACAACUUUAAACAUAAGUUUUAAGUUUGAAAGAUGCAAUUGCAUCACUCAAAGAUGAUCCCGCGUUGUAUUAGCUAGUUGGUGAGGUAAAGGCUCACCAAGGCGAUGAUACAUAGCCGACCGAGAGGGUGAUCGGCCACAUUGGGACUGAGACACGGCCCAAACUCCUACGGGAGGCAGCAGUAGGGAAUCUUCGGCAAUAGACGAAAGUCUGACCGAGCAACGCCGCGUGAGUGAAGAAGGUUUUCGGAUCGUAAAACUCUGUUGGUAGAGAAGAACGUUGGUGAGAGUGGAAAGCUCAUCAAGUGACGGUAACUACCCAGAAAGGGACGGCUAACUACGUG
rnacentral:rRNA from 1 species